rnacentral:rRNA from 1 species
UAGGGAAUCUUCGGCAAUGGACGAAAGUCUGACCGAGCAACGCCGCGUGAGUGAAGAAGGUUUUCGGAUCGUAAAACUCUGUUGUUAGAGAAGAACAAGGACGUUAGUAACUGAACGUCCCCUGACGGUAUCUAACCAGAAAGCCACGGCUAACUACGUGCCAGCAGCCGCGGUAAUACGGAGGUGGCAAGCGUUGUCCGGAUUUAUUGGGCGUAAAGCGAGCGCAGGCGGUUUCUUAAGUCUGAUGUGAAAGCCCCCGGCUCAACCGGGGAGGGUCAUUGGAAACUGGGAGACUUGAGUGAAGAAGAGGAGAGUGGAAUUCCAUGUGUAGCGGUGAAAUGCGUAGAUAUAUGGAGGAACACCAGUGGCGAAGGCGGCUCUCUGGUCUGUAACUGACGCUGAGGCUCGAAAGCGUGGGGAGCAAACAGG